rnacentral:rRNA from 1 species
AGUGAACGCUGGCGGUAGGCCUAACACAUGCAAGUCGAACGGCAGCACAGUAAGAGCUUGCUCUUACGGGUGGCGAGUGGCGGACGGGUGAGGCAUACAUCGGAAUCUACUUUUUCGUGGGGGAUAACGUAGGGAAACUUACGCUAAUACCGCAUAUGACCUACGGGUGAAAGCAGGGGAUCUUCGGACCUUGCGCGAUUGAAUGAGCUGAUGUCGGAUUAGCUAGUUGGCGGGGUAAAGGCCCACCAAGGCGACGAUCCGUAGCUGGUCUGAGAGGAUGAUCAGCCACACUGGAACUGAGACACGGUCCAGACUCCUACGGGAGGCAUCAGUGGGGAAUAUUGGACAAUGGGCGCAAGCCUGAUCCAGCCAUACCGCGUGGGUGAAGAAGGCCUUCGGGUUGUAAAGCCCUUUUGUUGGGAAAGAAAAGCAGCAGGUUAAUACCCCGCUGUUCUGACGGUACCCAAAGAAUAAGCACCGGCUAACUUCGUG